UGCCUUCGGGCCAAAGAGGGGGACCUUCGGGCCUCUCGCGUCAGGAUAUGCCCAGGUGGGAUCAGCUAGUUGGUGAGGUAAGGGCUCACCAAGGCGACGAUCCCUAGCUGGUCUGAGAGGAUGAGCAGCCACACUGGAACUGAGACACGGUCCAGACUCCUACGGGGGGGCAGCAGUGGGGAAUAUUGCACGAUGGGCGCAAGCCUGAUGCAGCCAUGCCGCGUGUAUGAAGAAGGCCUUCGGGUUGUAAAGUACUUUCAGUCGUGAGGAAGGUAGUGUAGUUAAUAGCUGCAUUGCUUGACGUUAGCGACAGAAGAAGCACCGGCUAACUCCGUG
rnacentral:rRNA from 1 species